GAUGAAGAACGUAGUGAAAUGCGAUACGUAAUGUGAAUUGCAGAAUUCAGUGAAUCAUCGAGUCUUUGAACGCACAUUGCGCCCCCUGGUAUUCCGGGGGGCAUGCCUGUCCGAGCGUCAUUGCUGCCCUCAAGCACGGCUUGUGUGUUGGGCCCCGUCCCCUCCCCCGGGGACGGGCCCGAAAGGCAGCGGCGGCACCGCGUCCGAUCCUCGAGCGUAUGGGGCUUUGUCACCCGCUCUGUAGGCCCGGCCGGCGCCAGCCGACACCCAACUUUUAUUUCUAAGGUUGACCUCGGAUCAGGUAGGGAUACCCGCUGAACUUAAGCAUAUCAAUAAGCGGAGGA
rnacentral:misc_RNA from 1 species